ACUUCAUCAAGUCAGAUCAGGGUGGACUAGAAACAAGUCAGUCUAACUGACAAGUCAUCAAUCUUCCCACUGACUUCAUCAAGUCAUGUCGAGGAUAAAGACAAGUCGAACUAAGGGCACCUAAAUCAGUCAAACUGAUUUUCUAGUAAGUAUGGGUCAACCCUAAUCAGUAAGCGAUCUGAUCAAAAUUUGAUUCACCAUGUUGGCUAGAUAAG
rnacentral:lncRNA from 1 species